rnacentral:rRNA from 1 species
UUAAGCGACUAAGCGUACACGGUGGAUGCCCUGGCAGUCAGAGGCGAUGAAGGACGUGCUAAUCUGCGAAAAGCGUCGGUAAGGUGAUAUGAACCGUUAUAACCGGCGAUGUCCGAAUGGGGAAACCCAGUGCAAUUCGUUGCACUAUCGUUAACUGAAUACAUAGGUUAACGAGGCGAACCGGGGGAACUGAAACAUCUAAGUACCCCGAGGAAAAGAAAUCAACCGAGAUUCCCCCAGUAGCGGCGAGCGAACGGGGAGCAGCCCAGAGUCUGAAUCAGCUUGUGUGUUAGUGGAACGGUCUGGAAAGUCCGACGGUACAGGGUGAUAGUCCCGUACACCAAAAUGCACAGGCUGUGAACUCGAAGAGUAGGGCGGGACACGUGGUAUCCUGUCUGAAUAUGGGGGGACCAUCCUCCAAGGCUAAAUACUCCUGACUGACCGAUAGUGAACCAGUACCGUGAGGGAAAGGCGAAAAGAACCCCGGCGAGGGGAGUGAAAAAGAACCUGAAACCGUGUACGUACAAGCAGUGGGAGCACCUUCGGGUGUGACUGCGUACCUUUUGUAUAAUGGGUCAGCGACUUAUAUUCUGUAGCAAGGUUAACCGUAUAGGGGAGCCGCAGGGAAACCGAGUCUUAACUGGGCGUUAAGUUGCAGGGUAUAGACCCGAAACCCGGUGAUCUAGCCAUGGGCAGGUUGAAGGUUGGGUAACACUAACUGGAGGACCGAACCGACUAAUGUUGAAAAAUUAGCGGAUGACUUGUGGCUGGGGGUGAAAGGCCAAUCAAACCGGGAGAUAGCUGGUUCUCCCCGAAAGCUAUUUAGGUAGCGCCUCGUGAAUUCAUCUUCGGGGGUAGAGCACUGUUUCGGCUAGGGGGUCAUCCCGACUUACCAACCCGAUGCAAACUACGAAUACCGAAGAAUGUUAUCACGGGAGACACACGGCGGGUGCUAACGUCCGUCGUGAAGAGGGAAACAACCCAGACCGCCAGCUAAGGUCCCAAAGUCAUGGUUAAGUGGGAAACGAUGUGGGAAGGCACAGACAGCCAGGAUGUUGGCUUAGAAGCAGCCAUCAUUUAAAGAAAGCGUAAUAGCUCACUGGUCGAGUCGGCCUGCGCGGAAGAUGUAACGGGGCUAAACCAUGCACCGAAGCUGCGGCAGCGACACUAUGUGUUGUUGGGUAGGGGAGCGUUCUGUAAGCCUGCGAAGGUGACCUGUGAGGGUUGCUGGAGGUAUCAGAAGUGCGAAUGCUGACAUAAGUAACGAUAAAGCGGGUGAAAAGCCCGCUCGCCGGAAGACCAAGGGUUCCUGUCCAACGUUAAUCGGGGCAGGGUGAGUCGACCCCUAAGGCGAGGCCGAAAGGCGUAGUCGAUGGGAAACAGGUUAAUAUUCCUGUACUUGGUGUUACUGCGAAGGGGGGACGGAGAAGGCUAUGUUAGCCGGGCGACGGUUGUCCCGGUUUAAGCAUGUAGGCUGGUUAUCCAGGCAAAUCCGGAUAAUCAAGGCUGAGGUGUGAUGACGAGGCACUACGGUGCUGAAGUAACAAAUGCCCUGCUUCCAGGAAAAGCCUCUAAGCAUCAGGUAACAUCAAAUCGUACCCCAAACCGACACAGGUGGUCAGGUAGAGAAUACCAAGGCGCUUGAGAGAACUCGGGUGAAGGAACUAGGCAAAAUGGUGCCGUAACUUCGGGAGAAGGCACGCUGGUGUGUAGGUGAAGUCCCUGCGGAUGGAGCUGAGACCAGUCGAAGAUACCAGCUGGCUGCAACUGUUUAUUAAAAACACAGCACUGUGCAAACACGAAAGUGGACGUAUACGGUGUGACGCCUGCCCGGUGCCGGAAGGUUAAUUGAUGGGGUUAUCCGUAAGGAGAAGCUCUUGAUCGAAGCCCCGGUAAACGGCGGCCGUAACUAUAACGGUCCUAAGGUAGCGAAAUUCCUUGUCGGGUAAGUUCCGACCUGCACGAAUGGCGUAAUGAUGGCCAGGCUGUCUCCACCCGAGACUCAGUGAAAUUGAACUCGCUGUGAAGAUGCAGUGUACCCGCGGCAAGACGGAAAGACCCCGUGAACCUUUUACUAUAGCUUGACACUGAACAUUGAGCCUUGAUGUGUAGGAUAGGUGGGAGGCUUUGAAGCGUGGACGCCAGUCUGCGUGGAGCCAACCUUGAAAUACCACCCUUUAAUGUUUGAUGUUCUAACGUUGGCCCCUUACCGGGGUUGCGGACAGUGUCUGGUGGGUAGUUUGACUGGGGCGGUCUCCUCCCAAAGCGUAACGGAGGAGCACGAAGGUUAGCUAAUCCUGGUCGGACAUCAGGAGGUUAGUGCAAUGGCAUAAGCUAGCUUGACUGCGAGCGUGACGGCGCGAGCAGGUGCGAAAGCAGGUCAUAGUGAUCCGGUGGUUCUGAAUGGAAGGGCCAUCGCUCAACGGAUAAAAGGUACUCCGGGGAUAACAGGCUGAUACCGCCCAAGAGUUCAUAUCGACGGCGGUGUUUGGCACCUCGAUGUCGGCUCAUCACAUCCUGGGGCUGAAGUAGGUCCCAAGGGUAUGGCUGUUCGCCAUUUAAAGUGGUACGCGAGCUGGGUUUAGAACGUCGUGAGACAGUUCGGUCCCUAUCUGCCGUGGGCGCUGGAGAAUUGAGGGGGGCUGCUCCUAGUACGAGAGGACCGGAGUGGACGCAUCACUGGUGUUCGGGUUGUCAUGCCAAUGGCACUGCCCGGUAGCUAAAUGCGGAAGAGAUAAGUGCUGAAAGCAUCUAAGCACGAAACUUGCCCCGAGAUGAGUUCUCCCUGAGACUUUAAGUCUCCUGAAGGAACGUUAAAGACGAUGACGUUGAUAGGCCGGGUGUGUAAGCGCAGCGAUGCGUUGAGCUAACCGGUACUAAUGAACCGUGAGGCUUAACCUU